UUUUUGACAGUCAGAAGAAAAGGAUAAACAGAAGAUCUGCUAUAAAUGAGAACGAUGAUCCCAGUGCAGGCUCAUAUGCAGCUCUUGGCCUCAGGACUAGAUCACAUGACCUCUACGACACACUCACGUCUGUCCAUCCCAGUCCUGCUGUUCACCAGUCGGGCUCUUCUGAAUAUGAGAAUCUGUCUCUUCAGUAACACUUCAAGUCUUCUCAAGAAGAAACUCUCAUCACUACUCAACAGAUACUUACAGUCCUUACAUUCAGUC